AAUAAGUGCAGUUUUGCACUAUUCACGUUCAACGUUUGACCGUCCGUCUUAUUUAAAAAUUUUUNAAAUUUUUCAAAUAAGACGGACGGUCAAACGUUGAACGUGAAUAGUGCAAAACUGCACUUAUU
rnacentral:pre_miRNA from 1 species